CACGCGCCAAAGUAGAUGAUUCUUGGAUUAAACGCUGUUGCUCUUCUCGCUCCUUUUGCCAAGCCAAUUCUAGGCGAGUCCUGGUACCAGUAAUGCGACUUCUUCCCAUCGCCAUGAUUUUGUCUUCCUCGAGCUACUCAGAAAUUUUGAUUUCUUUGGCCGAUUUUUCAUUGAGAUAUUCGGUUUUAAUGCGUGAAGUUUCGGUUCGCGCUUCAUUCAGUUCGUCCUCAAGACUUGUAAUUUGGGCAUGGAAUUCUUCAAUACGAGUCAAGAAUCAUUUAUGUCAUCAUACUUCACGAGAACGCGCGGCAUCUACUCCAGAUUUCGCUUUUUUGCUCGGAUCAGAUUUAAGUUCCGAUAUCAUGCGUUGAGCACCAUCCAGCAUUUCCCUGUUGACAGGAAAAUGAAGAAAACAAAUUUUUCGAAUAAUUUGCUAAGGUAAUUAUUACCUAAACGUAUCUCUUUCACGCCUGGCUUUUUCAAGUUGCAUUUGAGUCGCCUGGGUUUCUUCUUGAAGCAACGCGAUUUUAUUGUCAUUACGCAUUUUAAUAUGCGUCAUCUCUGAACGAUGGGCUUUCUCUUCUUGAGCCAAUCUGUAAUAAGAUUUCAGAUUUAUCGUUUAUAAAACUAUACAAUUCGAAUUUUUUAUUGAUGUUAUUUCACCUAUUUUUGAGUUCCCGUAGUUCACGUUCGUGCUCUGAUGAAUCAUAGGUCAUACUUCUCUUGAUUUUGGUUACUUUAUCGAAAUCUUCAAGUUUCCUUCGCAGUUCGUCGUUCUUUAUUAAGAAAAUUGUUAAUACAGGAGUAUUUUUGUAAACAUAAAGAAAGCUAACCUCUCGUCGGAUGUUAUCUAUGUGGUCCCUAUGCAGUUCUUCAUCACGUUUAAUCUUCUCCAAUUGCUGAUUUUUCUCUUCAAUAAUAUCUUUAAGUCGACUUCGCUCAAUGUACCAAUUUUCUCCAGAGUGUCGCAAUUCUUUUUCUUCCAACUCUUUCAUUUUUUCCUGUUAAAGAAUUGUGUUGAAUGUAUAUUCUAUGGUUUUAAAAUAUUACAAUACUCUUAGUCUUA
rnacentral:lncRNA from 1 species